UACGAAGGGGGCUAGCGUUGUUCGGAAUUACUGGGCGUAAAGGGCGCGUAGGCGGUACUUCAAGUCAGGCGUGAAAGCCCCGGGCUCAACCUGGGAACCGCGCUUGAGACUGGAGAACUAGAGUUCGGGAGAGGAUGGUGGAAUUCCCAGUGUAGAGGUGAAAUUCGUAGAUAUUCGCAAGAACACCAGUGGCGAAGGCGGCUCACUGGCCCGGUACUAACGCUGAGGUGCGAAAGCGUGGGGAGCAAACAGG
rnacentral:rRNA from 1 species